CCAAAUCAUUUGACAUAACUGAUGUUCCAAAGAAACCAGAAGUUUCUACUUCUGUAUCACAGUUCUAAGACAUGCAAACAGAGCAGUUCUUGAGAGCAUUUUUGAAGGAAGAGAAUCUUUAUGAAGUCAUAAUGGAGCUUUCUGAGGAUCCUCUGGACUCCCCCCGCCCCCAUCCCCAAACCCCUGUUCCAGAGGGGCAGUUCUAAUAGGGCUGAGUGCAGUUUGAGAGACAUUUUCCUACUUUAUGGCUCCUCUUCACUAACUUACAAAGCAGUGGCCACUGUGGGAGCCUCGGAGCCCAGAGCCCAGAGCCCAGGGAGAAUGGCACCUGCAUACGUGUGCCCAGGGAUAGAGACAGUGAUGAGGAUGGGACCCAAGAGACCAGUGUGCCAGUGUUCCCGAGGGAUCCAUGAGUCACUCUGGAAGAUCUUGCUUGCCUCAAGCUCCUUUUUAUAUGGUUGUCUUGGGGCAUUUUCGAAUAUCAAUUUCUUGGAAACUUUUUUUUUUUUUUUUUUGGUUCUUUUUUUCGGAGCUGGGGAUCAAACCCAGGGCCUUGCGCUUCCGAGCAGUUGCAAACAUAGGACUGCCUGAUUGAAGGGAGAAACCAUCUCAAGUGGGAGAGCCCAGCGCAUGCUGCAGUCCAGGAAACACGAUUGAAGACAAGCAUCAGAUUGAGGACCCACGGCGGGGUCAAUGGUACCAUCAUAGUCUCUUACAGUACUUGGGCAGAGUGACAUUUGAGCAAAGAAAAGAGGCUCAUGAGAAAAGUGGUCUGUCAGAUCCUAGGGAGCCUACUGUCAAAGAGCCAGCGUGGCAGCAAGUCCAGCUCAAUCCAGCCAUGAGCUAUAGAACCCAGUACAGCUUCUACAUCCAUCCUAAGACCCAGAACAGCUUGAUCAGAGGUCCAGGAUGUAGCCCAGGCUGGAACUGCACACUCCUCAAGGUUCCCAGCAGUGUCUCCUAGAUGACUGCUAGGUCCAGCUACACACUCCCAAGGACAAAUCCAGCAUCAAUUAGCACCGUAUUAUUAGCACCCUUAGGUAACUUCCAAGGUCACACUCUUAUACAUAAUGAUCAGAGACAACACAUUCUUUCAUUCCACCACCACCAAGGUCUGAUGCAACCAGGGCAGUACAAACUGAAUUGAAAGAGAAUUAACCAAUGACCGUAGGCCAUUGAACAGUCAGGUCCAAUUAAAGAGCAGGCGUUCAGUUUUCUAUGGUAAAGCUAAGUCCAAAAACACGGCAACAAGCAAGCGGCUGCUUGCAUUUUCUUCUACAGCGUUCUGAGACUGGAGCUGCACUCUCCAAAGGGAAAACAAGUCAGAGUUGACCUGACCCUGCAGGCUCCUCCUUCAUCUUCAGCAAGGCUUGGAAACCGAGUGUUCUCUGAGCCUUUGCUGGCCACUCAAUGUGAACAGAAGACCAAGCAGCUCUCUCGUGACCUCCCUUAUGGGCAAAGUUCAUCUGACUUCGAUCUAAGAGAGCUACCCUCAGAGGAGCUAAUGGGGUUUUGAUGGCUACUUCAAUCCAGAAGGCUGGGUGUCCUUCGCAGGUGGGGACUCUUUUGAGUAGAAGCAGGGGGUGAUCUGUAACAAGCUUACACAAAGAGGGGUAAGUGAUAAUGCUGUGAUUGCCCCCUAGUAGGGGGCCAUGUAUUUCCAAGAGCAGACGUGCUGGUCUUCACUCUGGCUUUGUGCAGAGAUCAUCUUAGAGAUGACAGAAGCCCUGUGAAUCAGUUGUGAACAUCCUCAUAGCUCCUGCCCCAGCUUUUGUUCUGUGUUGACUGAAGGCUGUAUAUAAGGAGUCUUCAGUCUUGUUUCCUAACACUUCAUCAUUUUGCUGCUGCCUGGGGUUCUUAGAGCGAAGAACCAUGACACCCAAGACCAGUCAUGGUAGAGUUAGAGCAUAGGUUGAGUCCAGGAUCUGUUGAAUUUAAGGAAGUCUCCCUGGGGUGCUUAUAGACCAUGCUAUCGGCCUUUGAGCAUGGAUCCUUAAUUAAGCUCCCCUUCAACCAUCAAAUGACUCAGAGUCGGGUCUGGUUUCUCUAGCAUCCCAGCCCCAGGGUUUUCCCCCUUGGCGGUGUGAACACUGUCCAUCUACCAGUUUCUUCCUGCACAUGUUAAAUUGCUGGAGGUGACAUCAAGGGCCAUAGACGAAGGUUACAUGAGUAGCCUGAGAAGAAUGGCCUCUCGGUUUUAGAGGACAGAGGGCUGAGCUGAGGUAGUUUCCUGUAAUGCCAUGAGAAGGUCUGCCCCAAGCUUCCAGAGACAGAUUUCUAGCCAUGACCUUGGUCACUUGUAGAAGCAUCGCCCCAGUUGCCAUUGGCUCAUGCAUGUCUGUAGUCUGAUUUCCUAUCAUGAGGAAUGCAGUUGCAUUAUACUCCAGUUCAUUUUAAUGACUUCCUGUUCACUUGAUUUCCUCCUAAAGCUAUAACUUCAGAUAAGAUUCCAUUUUGGGUCCAGUUGGGUAGGACCUCAUGGGUCUGCUGAGUCUAAAGCUAGCCCGGACCAUGCUACAGGUACAGCAGGGUCUGUCAGACUUCUGCUUCAGCCAUUGCCACAACGGGCUCAGUUGAUUGCCAGCCUCAGUUUAACUCAGGUCUUUUGUGAUUAUUCUAUAACUUGUCUAGUUAUAGACAUCCUUGGGUUUGGUGAUAGGACCCUAGAAAACAGCAUGAGAUCAAGUUGGCAAGUCAUGUAGACAACUUUAGGAAGUAUCAUAUGCUCCAGGUUUCCCGUUUCCUCCUAGAUUGCCAUUUUUUCCUUGUUUAUUUUUUUGCCACUAAUGGCACGGUGAUGUCUCCUCUUUUGGAAGCUCAUUCCUCACCAGCUUGGUCCUCUUCAGAUUCUGGCAAUCCAUCUGUGGUGUUUAUAAACAUCAUAGCUCCGAUGUGGAAGUGGCCCCAGAGACAUUGACUUGGGCUUGGCCAGCCCUCUCUGGCCUUGUAGACUGCCUCCAGGUCCUUGCAAGUCCUUGACGUUAGUCAUCUCUGCUCAACUCAUGUCAGCGAUGGAACUCUUCUGCUUGGCUUCAAAGUCUCUGUCUGGAGAGACUGUGUACCUGGAGAGGGCUUUGUACCUGGAUAACAGAUCACCAUCAGCUGGGCAGUAGGACUUGCCUCAAGGACAGUAAAUGCUUCUGUGGAGGGAAGGGACUCCAGGAGACCGUUUGUCCUUGGAAGCAGAUGGUAAUUAGGAAAGUACCAGUCACCUACACCGGCACGUAAGCUCAUAUUACCUGCCAGUGUCCUCCAGACUUUUAUAGGCAUGAGAGCCAGGUGUCUUUAGAGCACCUGACUCAGGGGAAAGAUUUCUGGUAUAUUCACAAAGGUAACUACUUGAAUUCCAGUAAGAAGGGGUUAACCAGUCAUGGUUGUGCCACAGACUGGAGCUUGAGGUGUGAGACAUUUGGCUGAGAGUGGUUACUCAUUGGGUUACUCAAUGGGGUUUAGGUAGACCAGAUAAUCCUUGUAACCUAGGGGUUGUAGAUCAUAGUGUCUCCUGCAGUUGACAGUUUUGACCUGGCUUUGUCUGUAACUAGGGAUCUUUCCAGACUGGACUCUUUCUCCAUUUUCUGUCUUUGUCUGGCCUUGUUGCUCCCUGGGCUUCAUGCCCAGAACUGAAGUAUUCAAGUUGCUGGGUGGCCAGAGCAUUUCCCUAUUGCCCAGCACAUAGGGAGAAAGAGAUCAGAUUGCCCUUCAGGUGCCCUGCCUGCCAUUUCCUGGGGGUAGAGAUGUCUUCUUGUGUUUGCUUAUGGAAUCUCAGUAAUCUAACAUCACUUCAAAGUUGGCUUGUGGUUCUGAGAAUUAUUUCUCAUGCACUGGCUCACUUUCCUGUCCGAAAUAUAGGGAUUAGGGUUCUAUUUCAUGGUUCUAUUUCUGGACUCCAUGUUAUCUUGUAGAAUUAUAACUUAAUUGUCCCUCUAGACUAGACCAGUGGAGACAAGGCAUGCGCUCCUUCCUCUCUGGAGCCCCGUUUUCACAUUGACCCCUUUUCAAACAUGGUUGGAAGCAGAGUAAUGUACUAUGCAUCUCUGCGAUGGGGUGGGUCUCCUUGUUGAGUAGGCCAGUGAGUUACGAGCCAUGAAGCUUCCGAAGUUUCUUGGUGAUGGAUGAAAUUUUGUCCUGUGUCACAAUCUCUUCCUAUGCUGCUUCAACUUCAGUUCUCUUGAUAGGGGUCUAUUGGAGGAAUUCUAGCUGGGAGAAUGGCUAGUCACUUGUGCCUGGAGGGACAAAAACUGAAGGGGUCUCAGGGACAUAGUGCCCAUAGAUCCCAAUUUCUCCAACAGUGAUAGGCGCUCCAGCCUGGAGCCUUGUGGGAACUUUCUGCUGAUGCAGAUCCGGAGACUCAGCUGAGUCUUAGUUUAUCCCCCCACCCCCUUUUUUCUUUUUCUUUUGGUUUUUCAAGGCAGGAUUUCUUUAAACCUAA